AAUGAGAAAAAUAACAAUUGCUUUAUCACAGACUGAAAACAUUCACCUGAGAAGAGUGUGUCCUGUAGGCCCUUUUUUCCUGAGAGAAAGUCCUGAAGACCUCAUCAACGAGUACCUUGAUAACCAGACAGAUGAUUGUGAGGGUGACCCUGAGCAGCUCUUCAUGGUGUUCAUUAUUCUGAAGGAGGGGGAGAACUUCACGAACCACCUGCUGACAUUGACAUUGUGAUCGAGGGAGUUAAAGUUUUGAAUCAACUCACUUCAGUCACAUCAGCGUGUGCCCUGCUUCUGGAUGCCUUACAACAAGUGAGGGCUGAAAAAAAGGAGGCCUCAAAGUUUGUAUUUGCUGUUUCUGCAAAACUGGCUCCAUUAUGCUCCUGAUCAGCUUGCGGGCAUUGCUCGUGGUGGAAAUCCCUGAGUUCGUCAGAGUAUCAAUUUAAUGAGUAAGGACAUUCUUUUUGCAUUAGAAGAGUAGCU